rnacentral:rRNA from 1 species
AUGAACGCUAGCUACAGGCUUAACACAUGCAAGUCGAGGGGCAGCAUGGUCUUAGCUUGCUAAGGCCGAUGGCGACCGGCGCACGGGUGAGUAACACGUAUCCAACCUGCCGUCUACUCUUGGACAGCCUUCUGAAAGGAAGAUUAAUACAAGAUGGCAUCAUGAGUCCGCAUGUUCACAUGAUUAAAGGUAUUCCGGUAGACGAUGGGGAUGCGUUCCAUUAGAUAGUAGGCGGGGUAACGGCCCACCUAGUCUUCGAUGGAUAGGGGUUCUGAGAGGAAGGUCCCCCACAUUGGAACUGAGACACGGUCCAAACUCCUACGGGAGGCAGCAGUGAGGAAUAUUGGUCAAUGGGCGAGAGCCUGAACCAGCCAAGUAGCGUGAAGGAUGACUGCCCUAUGGGUUGUAAACUUCUUUUAUAAAGGAAUAAAGUCGGGUAUGGAUACCCGUUUGCAUGUACUUUAUGAAUAAGGAUCGGCUAACUCCGUGCCAGCAGCCGCGGUAAUACGGAGGAUCCGAGCGUUAUCCGGAUUUAUUGGGUUUAAAGGGAGCGUAGAUGGAUGUUUAAGUCAGUUGUGAAAGUUUGCGGCUCAACCGUAAAAUUGCAGUUGAUACUGGAUAUCUUGAGUGCAGUUGAGGCAGGCGGAAUUCGUGGUGUAGCGGUGAAAUGCUUAGAUAUCACGAAGAACUCCGAUUGCGAAGGCAGCCUGCUAAGCUGCAACUGACAUUGAGGCUCGAAAGUGUGGGUAUCAAACAGGAUUAGAUACCCUGGUAGUCCACACCGUAAACGAUGGAUACUAGGUGUAGGAGAUAUUAAGUCUUCUGUGCCGUCGCAAACGCAAUAAGUAUCCCACCUGGGGAGUACGGCCGCAAGGUUGAAACUCAAAGGAAUUGACGGGGGCCCGCACAAGCGGAGGAACAUGUGGUUUAAUUCGAUGAUACGCGAGGAACCUUACCCGGGCUUAAAUUGCAUCUGAAUAAUUUGGAAACAGAUUAGCCGUAAGGCAGAUGUGAAGGUGCUGCAUGGUUGUCGUCAGCUCGUGCCGUGAGGUGUCGGCUUAAGUGCCAUAACGAGCGCAACCCUUGUUGUCAGUUACUAACAGGUUCCGCUGAGGACUCUGACAAGACUGCCAUCGUAAGAUGUGAGGAAGGUGGGGAUGACGUCAAAUCAGCACGGCCCUUACGUCCGGGGCUACACACGUGUUACAAUGGGGGGUACAGAGGGCCGCUACCACGCGAGUGGAUGCCAAUCCCCAAAACCUCUCUCAGUUCGGACUGGAGUCUGCAACCCGACUCCACGAAGCUGGAUUCGCUAGUAAUCGCGCAUCAGCCACGGCGCGGUGAAUACGUUCCCGGGCCUUGUACACACCGCCCGUCAAGCCAUGGGAGCCGGGGGUACCUGAAGUGCGUAACCGCGAGGAGCGCCCUAGGGUAAAACUGGUGACUGGGGCU